GAUGAACGCUGGCGGCGUGCCUAAUAUAUGCAAGUCGAGCGAACGGACGAGAAGCUUGCUUCUCUGAUGUUAGCGGCGGACGGGUGAGUAACACGUGGAUAACCUACCUAUAAGACUGGGAUAACUUCGGGAAACCGGAGCUAAUACCGGAUAAUAUUUUGAACCGCAUGGUUCAAAAGUGAAAGACGGUCUUGCUGUCACUUAUAGAUGGAUCCGCGCUGCAUUAGCUAGUUGGUAAGGUAACGGCUUACCAAGGCAACGAUGCAUAGCCGACCUGAGAGGGUGAUCGCCCACACUGGAACUGAGACACGGUCCAGACUCGUACGGGAGGCAGCAGUAGGGAAUCUUGCGCAAUGGGCGAAAGCCUGACGGAGCAACGCCGCGUGAGUGAUGAAGGUCUUCGGAUCGUAAAACUCUGUUAUUAGGGAAGAACAUAUGUGUAAGUAACUGUGCACAUCUUGACGGUACCUAAUCAGAAAGCCACGGCUAACUACGUG
rnacentral:rRNA from 1 species